AUUUAAAUAGCUUAAAAUUUAAAGCUUAGUAUUGAAGUUACUAGUAUAAGAUUAUAAUGUCUUUUUAAAUA
rnacentral:tRNA from 1 species